rnacentral:rRNA from 1 species
GAUAGUGAACCAGUACCGUGAGGGAAAGGCGAAAAGAACCCCGGCGAGGGGAGUGAAAAAGAACCUGAAACCGUGUACGUACAAGCAGUGGGAGCACGCUUAGGCGUGUGACUGCGUACCUUUUGUAUAAUGGGUCAGCGACUUAUAUUCUGUAGCAAGGUUAACCGAAUAGGGGAGCCGAAGGGAAACCGAGUCUUAACUGGGCGUUAAGUUGCAGGGUAUAGACCCNCUUAGGCGUGUGACUGCGUACCUUUUGUAUAAUGGGUCAGCGACUUAUAUUCUGUAGCAAGGUUAACCGAAUAGGGGAGCCGAAGGGAAACCGAGUCUUAACUGGGCGUUAAGUUGCAGGGUAUAGACCCGAAACCCGGUGAUCUAGCCAUGGGCAGGUUGAAGGUUGGGUAACACUAACUGGAGGACCGAACCGACUAAUGUUGAAAAAUUAGCGGAUGACUUGUGGCUGGGGGUGAAAGGCCAAUCAAACCGGGAGAUAGCUGGUUCUCCCCGAAAGCUAUUUAGGUAGCGCCUCGUGAAUUCAUCUCCGGGGGUAGAGCACUGUUUCGGCAAGGGGGUCAUCCCGACUUACCAACCCGAUGCAAACUGCGAAUACCGGAGAAUGUUAUCACGGGAGACACACGGCGGGUGCUAACGUCCGUCGUGAAGAGGGAAACAACCCAGACCGCCAGCUAAGGUCCCAAAGUCAUGGUUAAGUGGGAAACGAUGUGGGAAGGCCCAGACAGCCAGGAUGUUGGCUUAGAAGCAGCCAUCAUUUAAAGAAAGCGUAAUAGCUCACUGGUCGAGUCGGCCUGCGCGGAAGAUGUAACGGGGCUAAACCAUGCACCGAAGCUGCGGCAGCGACGCUUAUGCGUUGUUGGGUAGGGGAGCGUUCUGUAAGCCUGUGAAGGUGUGCUGUGAGGCAUGCUGGAGGUAUCAGAAGUGCGAAUGCUGACAUAAGUAACGAUAAAGCGGGUGAAAAGCCCGCUCGCCGGAAGACCAAGGGUUCCUGUCCAACGUUAAUCGGGGCAGGGUGAGUCGACCCCUAAGGCGAGGCCGAAAGGCGUAGUCGAUGGGAAACAGGUUAAUAUUCCUGUACUUGGUGUUACUGCGAAGGGGGGACGGAGAAGGCUAUGUUGGCCGGGCGACGGUUGUCCCGGUUUAAGCGUGUAGGCUGGUUUUCCAGGCAAAUCCGGAAAAUCAAGGCUGAGGCGUGAUGACGAGGCACUACGGUGCUGAAGCAACAAAUGCCCUGCUUCCAGGAAAAGCCUCUAAGCAUCAGGUAACAUCAAAUCGUACCCCAAACCGACACAGGUGGUCAGGUAGAGAAUACCAAGGCGCUUGAGAGAACUCGGGUGAAGGAACUAGGCAAAAUGGUGCCGUAACUUCGGGAGAAGGCACGCUGAUAUGUAGGUGAAGUCCCUCGCGGAUGGAGUUGAAAUCAGUCGAAGAUACCAGCUGGCUGCAACUGUUUAUUAAAAACACAGCACNGCACGCUGAUAUGUAGGUGAAGCGACUUGCUCGUGGAGCUGAAAUCAGUCGAAGAUACCAGCUGGCUGCAACUGUUUAUUAAAAACACAGCACUGUGCAAACACGAAAGUGGACGUAUACGGUGUGACGCCUGCCCGGUGCCGGAAGGUUAAUUGAUGGGGUCAGCGCAAGCGAAGCUCUUGAUCGAAGCCCCGGUAAACGGCGGCCGUAACUAUAACGGUCCUAAGGUAGCGAAAUUCCUUGUCGGGUAAGUUCCGACCUGCACGNCCGGAAGGUUAAUUGAUGGGGUCAGCGCAAGCGAAGCUCUUGAUCGAAGCCCCGGUAAACGGCGGCCGUAACUAUAACGGUCCUAAGGUAGCGAAAUUCCUUGUCGGGUAAGUUCCGACCUGCACGAAUGGCGUAAUGAUGGCCAGGCUGUCUCCACCCGAGACUCAGUGAAAUUGAACUCGCUGUGAAGAUGCAGUGUACCCGCGGCAAGACGGAAAGACCCCGUGAACCUUUACUAUAGCUUGACACUGAACAUUGAGCCUUGAUGUGUAGGAUAGGUGGGAGGCUU